GUCUAUGGCCACACCACUAUCAACACACCCGAUCUUGUCUGAUCUCAGAAGCUAAGUAGGGUUGGGCCUGGUUAGUGCUUAGAUG
rnacentral:rRNA from 1 species